rnacentral:misc_RNA from 1 species
AACGCACCUUGCGCUCCUUGGUAUUCCGAGGAGCAUGCCUGUUUGAGUGUCAUGAAACCCUCAACCUCUGACUUUCUUAAUCGUCGGUCAGCGGCUUGGACUUGGGUGUCUGCCGGUCUUCAUUGAUCGGCUCACCUGAAAUAUGUUAGCGAAUCCCUUCUGUAAUCGGUUCCACUCGACGUGAUAAGUAUUUCGUCGAGGACAUCUUUAUUGAUGGCCGAGAUAAAGCUGGUUCUAGAUCUGCUUCUAACUCUUUCGUUGCCUUCUGGUAAAGAAAAACCCCUCAUGAUCUGGCCUCAAAUCAGGUAGGACUACCCGCUGAACUUAA